AUGAAGCGGACGAGCCGCUCCAGCUCGGACGACGACGACCCCGCCUCCGCGACGUCGAGCCUCAGCUGCCGCGCCAUGGCUCCGGCCGCCGCCCUGAUCUCGCCGGACGCCAUGGCCUCCCUCACCGUGCUCUCCACGACGCCCCUGUCGCAGACGUCCUUCAUGUCCAGCCCCACACGGCUCCCACGAACCGGCUGUUGGUCUGCUGGUCGGCGAAGAAGGGCCAGCACACCAUGGGCACGCCCUCGGCGGCGCACUCCAGAGUCGAGUUCCAGCCGGCGUGCGUCAGGAAGCAGCCCACCGCCCGGUGCCGGAGCACGUCCCGCUGAGGCGCCCACUCCACGACGCGCGCCCUGUCGCCGCCUCCUGCCGCUGCCGCGACGGCUUCCCGGAGCAGCAGCCCAGGGCUGGCCGGGCGGACCAGGUCCGGCCGGAGCACCCAGAGGAAGGCGUGCCCGGUGGCCGCGAGGCCGGCGAGGAACUCGGUGA
rnacentral:rRNA from 1 species